GCGAACGCUGGCGGCAGGCUUAACACAUGCAAGUCGAACGGGCACCUUCGGGUGUCAGUGGCAGACGGGUGAGUAACACGUGGGAACGUACCCUUCGGUUCGGAAUAACUCAGGGAAACUUGAGCUAAUACCGGAUACGCCCUUUUGGGGAAAGGUUUACUGCCGAAGGAUCGGCCCGCGUCUGAUUAGCUUGUUGGUGGGGUAAUGGCCUACCAAGGCGACGAUCAGUAGCUGGUCUGAGAGGAUGAUCAGCCACACUGGGACUGAGACACGGCCCAGACUCCUACGGGAGGCAGCAGUGGGGAAUAUUGGACAAUGGGCGCAAGCCUGAUCCAGCCAUGCCGCGUGAGUGAUGAAGGCCUUAGGGUUGUAAAGCUCUUUUGUCCGGGACGAUAAUGACGGUACCGGAAGAAUAAGCCCCGGCUAACUUCGU
rnacentral:rRNA from 1 species